AGAGCACUCCAGGGAGACUGCCGGUGACAAACCGGAGGAAGGUGGGGAUGACGUCAAGUCCUCAUGGCCCUUAUGGGUAGGGCUUCACACGUCAUACAAUGGUCGGAACAGAGGGUCGCCAACCCGCGAGGGGGAGCCAAUCCCAGAAAACCGAUCGUAGUCCGGAUCGCACUCUGCAACUCGAGUGCGUGAAGCUGGAAUCGCUAGUAAUCGCGGAUCAGCAUGCCGCGGUGAAUACGUUCCCGGGUCUUGUACACACCGCCCGUG
rnacentral:rRNA from 1 species